AAGUCAUUCUUCAUGCCUGCUGUUAUUCUACAAAUGCUGCAUCUUCCCUUUCCUUGAUGGCCCAUUGCUUGAGAAUGACAAAAGCUACAGAUGCUCUUUUAUAGGCCCAGAUCUGACAUUCCCCACGCAGUCAAUGGGCCCGAACUCCAUCUCGAGGCAUAGUGGCUGUUCAGGAAAUUGGUUUCACUGCAAGUGUUGCCUGAGCAAAUACAGCAUGGUUGCUACUGUAAAGCAAUAACAAAGAUCUAUAUUCGUGUCUUACAAUAGCAAAAACAUCUAAGGUAACAUUUCCUGAUAUACAGCAAAGCGAUACUUUCCAUGUGAAGAGCUAUGAAGUCAGUAUCUCACCCUCCCUGCAGGCAGAAUACUUUUUGUGGCUACCUACAUAUCUCAGACCAGUUCAAAGGGAACUGGUUUAUUGUCUGGGCUCACAGUCAAAAUACUGUUCCAGUCAGUGUCGUUAGGUUGCAAUUCAGCUGUCCUGGAAGAACUCAACUCACAAGCCUCACUGCCUCCAAGAAUGAUAUUUUUAUGUGGAAACUUGUCCAAGCUUCAUCCUAAUGAACAUUUCUUACAUGAGAACACUGAAUAUAAAAGAGUCUUGAAACUUCCUGCCUCUAUCUCAAAUCCCUAAGCUCUGCAUCCUUUUAAUUACUUCAGCCUUUUAAACCAGCUUUUUUUACUUUCUGCUAUUAGCAGGGAAAUCCCAACCUACUCUUAUUUCCAAAUGUUUUUCUCACAGGACUACAUCAUUGUUCAGUGGCUUUAAUUAAGUAUUGAGCUGCCUUGGACAAAGGAAAACUGAGUGUAUAUUUGUAGUCAGAGAAGGCUAUGUUGUUUAGUACUAAACUUGUUUUAUUUCAGAUAUUACUAUUUUAUUUUUUGUUUCCAUCUCCAGUUCCUGUUUCUAUUAAUUGUUUCUUAUAUAAAAGAGCAAUGAGGUCCCAGAAGGAAGAACCUUCAAGGACAUUUUCUAACGGUUAAUAUGCACCAUUAAGUAUGAACUUGUAGAAAGUUUUAUUUCUAAACUCAGCAUUAAGUAUGAAUGAAUUAAUGUGGCUCAACAGCUACUAGUCUCAUUUUCAUUAAAAGGCUUCUAUAUGUAAAAUAAGAUUAUUUUAAUAAAAUAAGGUAUGCUACAUUGCUUCAGUGAUAAUUUCAAAGGAUUCUGGUGUAUUUAGGACUGCAAAGACAAUCAGAAUAAUAUCCUUGUUUACACUAAUGCUUUAGAGAAUUAUUUGUACCUUCUUACAGGUUUUGUCCAAGAUAAGUUGUAUGAGCAACCUGAUAUCUCCUUAUAUAAAUAAAAAGCCACAACUUCAACUCUUUAAACUCUCAGAAAGGCGCGUUGCUAUGGAAGAUGUUCCAUAUCAGUAAGAAUCUUUUAGGUUUAAAAUGUGAGUCUUAGGAAUGCUCAGGCAAUCAAGUAAUCUGAUCGACUGUACUUCGUUUUAGUGCCUUGAAAAAAUCGCUGUUGCUGAAGUUUGUGUAUAGUUACAGAGGAAGAGAAACCGCUAGGCUAAAAAGGUCCUAUAACUUAUAUUAGUAAUGCUCAUCUGGCACAAAACAUUAGAGAAAGCCUCCUAGCUACAAGGACCCACAGAAGCCAUAAAAUGACCUUUUAAGGCACUAAUGAUUUACGUUUUUUCUGAUGAGACAUUCAAGGACUGUGUGUGGUUCUUCUCCACAUGACGGUGCUGUCCCUCCUCACCCACGGCUACCCAUGUAUCACCACCUGACUCGAGCUGCUCAGCCUCUGAUCUCGGAGCAGUCCGCCUUUGCUCCUUCUCCAUUUCAAACAAAGCCAGACUCGACUUUGCGGUCACGUAUUCAAUAGAAGAGCAGCAGACAGGCACUCCAGUAAAUGAACAAUGAAGAAAAUGAGUUCAUUUUAUUCCAUCCACUGAUCUACUACUUAACAAAGAAGAGACCAAAAUGACAACUUUAUGAGGAGCCAUAAUGAAAGACAUAACACUCCAUGGAGAACAAGUACAACAAAAAUAAAAUACGCAAUAGCAGUGAAAAGGAGACUGAAGAAACACAUGAAAGCAUGGUGCUCCUGGAGGAAUGGAUUACCAAUUUUUUGUCAGAUCAAGAGAACCUUUUUAUUUGCACCAACAACUGAGAUUCCCAGACUUCAAUAAAAGGGAUCGCAUCAAAGUGAUACAAGGGCUGCUCUGAACAGUUAAAUGACUCCUUCUGCACAAAGCCAUGAAGAACAGGUGCUCUUAUACCUUCAUAAAUCUCCAUCCUGCUUGGACCCACUGCUACCACCUUUUUUGCCCCCUUCCAGAUUUGUAGUCACCUCCAUCUUCACCUAAUCCUUCCAAGAGCUCACUCUGCUGCAUCGUUUUAUGAGCACCAGGCUCUCGUUGCCACAUGGGGAGUGAAAAUGUUAAAUGUUUCAAUACCUAAACUUUUCAGCUGUAUUCUCUUGGGUUUGACUAGUUUUUAGAAGAGUGAGCUUUAAAAUAUAUUAAAACAUUUGCUUCCACUGUAUCCUACUUUAACUAUGGAUGAUGUAAA